UGCCAGAAAAGUUACAAAGUCUCAUGCAGUUUAGAUGAAGGAUUUAAAUAUUCAUCAUAUUUUUUUUUUACAGCUAUACUUACAAAGCAGACCUUGAAAUAUUCUGAGGGGUUGUCCCCAAGAAGGACAGGGAUGCCACGGAGAACUGCAGUGCAUCAAAGUGUAACCUCAGUUCCCUGAAACUUUGCUGCAGUGUAGAUUUUAGUUGCAUUUUUUUUUUUUUUUUUUUCCUUCUCUAUAAAUUAAAAUACCUUGUACCUUGCUCUUUAAAUAUAGAUACUUUGCUGGUACUAUUUUAUAACCCAUGAAAGAUGGCCAGGGACAGUUCACCCCAAAAUUAAAAAUUCUUAAAUCAGUUACUCACCUUCAUGCCAUGCCCAAUUUAUUUGACUUUCUUUCUUCAGGUAAACACAAAACAAAGAUUUUUAGGAAAAUAAUCACAUUUCUGUGAGUUUAUAUAAUGCCAUUGACUCAACUUUUAUAAAGAAUAUCUCUUUGGGUUUGAGACUUUAGUCUUUGCAACUUUAAAGAUCUCUUUUUUAUGCAUCAAGAGCUUGUAACACUGCAAAGAGAAAGGACAAAUUGAAAUAGCAUUAUAUGUGCGUUACUAGGCAUUAAUUUAAAGGAUGAGUGUUUGAGGAAAGGUGGAAAGACAUUAGAUGAUGUUAUCGUUUUCUUGUGGUACAAAAUUGUUUUUGUUCACAUUUUUAAACGGAUUCUUUCUUUAAGUUUGAGACUUUUAUUUUAAAACUAACUCUUACUAUAAAAUCCUAUUGGCUAUUAAUAAAAGUCAUGCCGAUCGGCAUGCACCCCUUCUUAUCGAAGAAGAAGAAGAAGAAGAAGAAUCAAAGAAGAAGAUGCACCCCUUCUUCAAAAUGCCAUAGAGCAAUGUAUUUAUUUAAUCUGAUCGAUAGUUAUGUGUAAUAUAUUUUAAAACCACCGAUCGCAAAAGUCUUAUCACUGGAAUGUUAAAGGAAGAUGAUGAGGACUUUGAGGAAGAAGAUGAGAAAGAUUGUAGAUCUGCAAACAGAGGGAGCAUUUCAGCUGUCUUUUCUGUCAUCUUCAGUGUUGUGUCUGUGCUCGCCAGAGGACGCCCAGACGUCAUAUUUCGGCGUCGGUCUUUUGAAUGGGAAAGUGCAGCUCUCGGUUCUGUUGUGAGUCACAGCAGUAUAAUCGCUGGUGGUCGUUACGUUUCU
ensembl:lncRNA